rnacentral:rRNA from 1 species
CCUCGGGAGCUGCAGUGGGGAAUAUUGGACAAUGGGCGAAAGCCUGAUCCAGCCAUGCCGCGUGUGUGAAGAAGGCCUUCGGGUUGUAAAGCACUUUCAGUGGGGAAGAAAGCCUUGGGGCUAAUACCCUCGAGGAAGGACAUCACCCACAGAAGAAGCACCGGCUAACUCCGUGCCAGCAGCCGCGGUAAUACGGAGGGUGCGAGCGUUAAUCGGAAUUACUGGGCGUAAAGCGCGCGUAGGCGGUCUGAUAAGCCGGUUGUGAAAGCCCCGGGCUCAACCUGGGAACGGCAUCCGGAACUGUCAGGCUAGAGUGUAGGAGAGGAAGGUAGAAUUCCCGGUGUAGCGGUGAAAUGCGUAGAGAUCGGGAGGAAUACCAGUGGCGAAGGCGGCCUUCUGGACUGACACUGACGCUGAGGUGCGAAAGCGUGGGUAGCAAACAGGAUUAGAUACCCGAGUAGUC